UACGGGGGGAGCAAGCGUUGUUCGGAUUUACUGGGCGUAAAGGGCGCGUAGGCGGCCACCGCAAGUCGACUGUGAAAUCUCCGGGCUUAACCCGGAAAGGUCAGCCGAUACUGCGGGGCUAGAGUGCAGAAGGGGCAACUGGAAUUCUCGGUGUAGCGGUGAAAUGCGUAGAUAUCGAGAGGAACACCAGUGGCGAAGGCGGCUCACUGGCCCGAUACUGACGCUGAGGCACGAAAGCGUGGGGAGCAAACAGG
rnacentral:rRNA from 1 species